CACAUGAGAGCUUUUAGAGCAUCUACUUUGGGUGUAGGAGGUAAAGGUGUGA
rnacentral:tRNA from 1 species